AAAGGAAUAGACGGGGACCCGCACAAGCAGCGGAGCGUGUGGUUUAAUUCGAUGCUACACGAAGAACCUUACCUGGGCUUGACAUGUACGUCGUAGGGGACCGAAAGGCGACCGAUCCUUCGGGGAGCGUACACAGGUGCUGCAUGGCUGUCGUCAGCUCGUGCCGUGAGGUGUUCGGUUAAGUCCGACAACGAGCGCAACCCUUGUUGCCAGUUAUAUUUUACUGGCGAGACUGCCGGCAUAUAACCGGAGGAAGGUGGGGAUGAAGUCAAGUCAGUAUGGCCUUUAUGUCCAGGGCUACUCACACGCUACAAUGGCCGGUACAGAGGGCAGCAAAGCCGCGAGGUGGAGCGAAUCCGGAAAAGCCGGUCUCAGUUCAGAUUGCAGGCUGCAACCCGCCUGCAUGAAGUAGGAGUUGCUAGUAACCGCAGGUCAGCCAAACUGCGGUGAAUACGUUCCCGGGUCUUGUACACACCGCCCGU
rnacentral:rRNA from 1 species